UACGUAGGGGGCAAGCGUUGUCCGGAAUUAUUGGGCGUAAAGAGCGCGUAGGCGGUCCGAUAAGUCGGCUGUGAAAGUCAGGGGCUCAACCCUUGAAAGCCGGCCGAUACUGUCGGACUAGAGUCCGGAAGAGGCAAGUGGAAUUCCCGGUGUAGCGGUGAAAUGCGCAGAUAUCGGGAGGAACACCAAUGGCGAAGGCAGCUUGCUGGGACGGUACUGACGCUAAGGCGCGAAAGCGUGGGGAGCAAACAGG
rnacentral:rRNA from 1 species